rnacentral:misc_RNA from 1 species
AACACUGUUAACCUGCGGUACCUGCGGAAGGAUCAUUACCGAGUGAGGGCCCUCCGGGUCCAACCUCCCACCCGUGUUUAACGAACCUUGUUGCUUCGGCGGGCCCGCCUCACGGCCGCCGGGGGGCACCCCGCCCCCGGGCCCGCGCCCGCCGAAGACACCUGUGAACGCUGUCUGAAGUUGCAGUCUGAGACACUAGCUCAAUCAGUUAAAACUUUCAACAACGGAUCUCAGAUCGGA